CCUACGGGUGGCUGCAGUGGGGAAUAUUGGUCAAUGGGCGAAAGCCUGACCCAGCAACGCCGCGUGAAGGAAGAAGGCUUUCGGUUUGUAAACUUCUUUUUACAGGGAAGAGCAGAAGACGGUACCUGUCGAAUAAGCCACGGCUAACUAAGUGCCAUCAGCCGCGGUAAUACGUAGGUGGCAAGCGUUGUCCGGAUUUACUGGGUGUAAAGGGCGUGUAGCCGGGCUGGCAAGUCAGAUGUGAAAUCCGGGGGCUAAAACCCCGAACUGCAUUUGAAACUGUUGGUCUUGAGUAUCUGAGAGGCAGGCGGAAUUCCUAGUGUAGCGGUGAAAGGCGUAGAUAUUAGGAGGAACACCAGUGGCGAAGGCGGCCUGCUGGAUGACAACUGACGGUGAGGCGCGAAAGCGUGGGGAGCAAACAGGAUUAGAUACCCCGGUAGUC
rnacentral:rRNA from 1 species